GACGAACGCUGGCGGCGUGCUUAACACAUGCAAGUCGAACGGAAAGGCCUGCUUUCCCUUGUGGAUUGCGGGUACUCGAGUGGCGAACGGGUGAGUAACACGUGAGUGAUCUGCCCCCAACUUGGGUAUAAGCCUGGGAAACUGGGUCUAAUUCCCGAUAGGACUGCAGGGUGGUGCCUGUGGUGGAAAACGAUUUUCUAGUGGUUGGGGAUGAGCUCGCGGCCUAUCAGCUUGUUGGUGGGGUAAUGGCCUACCAAGGCGGCGACGGGUAGCCGGCCUGAGAGGGUGGACGGCCACAUUGGGACUGAGAUACGGCCCAGACGCCUACGGGCGGCAGCAGUGGGGAAUAUUGCACGAGGGGCGGAAGCCUGAGGCAGCGACGCCGCGGGGGGGAUGACGGCCUUCGGGUUGUAAACUCCUUUCGACCGCGAGGAAGCCACCUGGUUGGAAGGGUGGUGACGGUAGUGGUAGAAGAAGCACCGGCUAACUACGUG
rnacentral:rRNA from 1 species